UAAGGAAUAUUGGGCAAUGGACGCAAGUCUGACCCAGCCAUGCCGCGUGAAGGAUGAAGGUCCUCUGGAUUGUAAACUUCUUUUAUCUGGGGCGAAAACAACUCUUUCKAGAGUUCUUGACAGUACCAGAGGAAUAAGCACCGGCUAACUCCGUGCCAGCAGCCGCGGUAAUACGGAGGGUGCAAGCGUUAUCCGGAUUCACUGGGUUUAAAGGGUGCGUAGGCGGGCAGGUAAGUCAGUGGUGAAAUCCCCGAGCUUAACUCGGGAACUGCCGUUGAUACUAUCUGUCUUGAAUACUGUGGAGGUAAGCGGAAUAUGUCAUGUAGCGGUGAAAUGCUUAGAUAUGACAUAGAACACCAAUUGCGAAGGCAGCUUGCUACACGGUCAUUGACGCUGAGGCACGAAAGCGUGGGGAUCAAACAGGAUUAGAUACCCUGGUAGUCCACGCCCUAAACGAUGAUUACUCGACA
rnacentral:rRNA from 1 species